rnacentral:RNase_P_RNA from 1 species
GUAACCUCCACUCGGAGCAAUCUCAAAUAGGCAGGCGUUGAGGCGAUCCGCUGAGUCUGCGGGUAGAGAGCUCGAGUCCAUUGGUAACAAUGGACCUAGAUGAAUGAUUGCCCCCGUGCGCAAGCACGGGCGACAGAAUCCGGCUUAUCGACCAACUCUGCAC